rnacentral:tRNA from 1 species
GGGCAGUUGGCUGAGUGGUUUAAAGCACCCGCCUACUAAGCGGACGAACGUUAAUAGCGUUCCCAGGGUUCGAAUCCCUGGCUGCCCGCCA